UCGCCGCGGGAAUACGAAGGGUGCAAGCGUUACUCGGAAUUACUGGGCGUAAAGCGUGCGUAGGUGGUGGUUUAAGUCCGUUGUGAAAGCCCUGGGCUCAACCUGGGAAUUGCAGUGGAUACUGGGUCACUAGAGUGUGGUAGAGGAUAGUGGAAUUUCCGGUGUAGCAGUGAAAUGCGUAGAGAUCGGAAGGAACAUCUGUGGCGAAGGCGACUAUCUGGGCCAACACUGACACUGAGGCACGAAAGCGUGGGGAGCAAACAGGAUUAGAUACCCCAGUAGUCCCUGUCUCUUAUACACA
rnacentral:rRNA from 1 species